CCUACGGGUGGCAGCAGUAGGGAAUAUUGCUCAAUGGGGGAAACCCUGAAGCAGCAACGCCGCGUGGAGGAUGAAGGUUUUCGGAUUGUAAACUCCUUUUGUUAGAGAAGAUAAUGAUGGUAGUUAACGAAUAAGCACCGGCUAACUCCGUGCCAGCAGCCGCGGUAAUACGGAGGGUGCAAGCGUUACUCGGAAUCACUGGGCGUAAAGAGCGCGUAGGCGGGAUAGCAAGUCAGAUGUGAAAUCCUAGGGCUUAACCAUGGAACUGCAUUUGAAACUGUUAUUCUAGAGUAUGGGAGAGGUAGGUGGAAUUCUUGGUGUAGGGGUAAAAUCCGUAGAGAUCAAGAGGAAUACUCAUUGCGAAGGCGACCUGCUAGAACAUAACUGACGCUGAUGCGCGAAAGCGUGGGGAGCAAACAGGAUUAGAUACCCCUGUAGUC
rnacentral:rRNA from 1 species